GACGAACGCUGGCGGCGUGCCUAAUACAUGCAAGUAGAACGCUGAAGGAGGAGCUUGCUUCUCCGGAUGAGUUGCGAACGGGUGAGUAACGCGUAGGUAACCUGCCUGGUAGCGGGGGAUAACUAUUGGAAACGAUAGCUAAUACCGCAUAACAGUAGAUAUUGCAUGAUAUCUGCUUAAAAGGUGCAAUUGCAUCACUACCAGAUGGACCUGCGUUGUAUUAGCUAGUUGGUGAGGUAACGGCUCACCAAGGCAACGAUACAUAGCCGACCUGAGAGGGUGAUCGGCCACACUGGGACUGAGACACGGCCCAGACUCCUACGGGAGGCAGCAGUAGGGAAUCUUCGGCAAUGGACGGAAGUCUGACCGAGCAACGCCGCGUGAGUGAAGAAGGUUUUCGGAUCGUAAAGCUCUGUUGUAAGAGAAGAACGAGUGUGAGAGUGGAAAGUUCACACUGUGACG
rnacentral:rRNA from 1 species